rnacentral:tRNA from 1 species
AAGGAUUUAGGUUAAGUGCAAACCUAUGACCUUCAAAGUCAUCAAUAAAAAUUGAACUUUUAAGCCUUA